AGGGAAUUUUCGUCAAUGGGGGGAACCCUGAACGAGCAAUGCCGCGUGAGUGAGGAAGGUCUUCGGAUCGUAAAGCUCUGUUGUAAGAGAAAAACGACAUUCAUAGGGAAUGAUGAGUGAGUGAUGGUAUCUUACCAGAAAGUCACGGCUAACUACGUGCCAGCAGCCGCGGUAAUACGUAGGUGGCGAGCGUUAUCCGGAAUGAUUGGGCGUAAAGGGUGCGUAGGUGGCAGAACAAGUCUGGAGUAAAAGGUAUGGGCUCAACCCGUACUGGCUCUGGAAACUGUUCAGCUAGAGAACAGAAGAGGACGGCGGAACUCCAUGUGUAGCGGUAAAAUGCGUAGAUAUAUGGAAGAACACCGGUGGCGAAGGCGGCCGUCUGGUCUGUUGCUGACACUGAAGCACGAAAGCGUGGGGAGCAAAUAGGAUUAGAUACCCUAGUAGUCCACGCCGUAAACGAUGAGAACUAGGUGUUGGGGGAAUAACUCAGUGCCGCAGUUAACGCAAUAAGUUCUCCGCCUGGGGAGUAUGCACGCAAGUGUGAAACUCAAAGGAAUUGACGGGGGCCCGCACAAGCGGUGGAGUAUGUGGUUUAAUUCGAAGCAACGCGAAGAACCUUACCAGGCCUUGACAUCCCUUGCAGAGGUAUAGAGAUAUAUCCGAGGUUAUCAAGGAGACAGGUGGUGCAUGGUUGUCGUCAGCUCGUGUCGUGAGAUGUUGGGUUAAGUCCCGCAACGAGCGCAACCCUUGUGAUAUGUUACUAACAUUGAGUUGAGGACUCAUAUCAGACUGCCGGUGAUAAACCGGAGGAAGGUGGGGAUGACGUCAAAUCAUCAUGCCCCUUAUGGCCUGGGCUACACACGUACUACAAUGGCGUCUACAAAGAGCGGCAAGCCUGUGAAGGCAAGCGAAUCUCAUAAAGGACGUCUCAGUUCGGAUUGAAGUCUGCAACCCGACUUCAUGAAGCUGGAAUCGCUAGUAAUCGCGAAUCAGCAUGUCACGGUGAAUACGUUCUCG
rnacentral:rRNA from 1 species